AUGGGCAAAGGAGAUCCUAAGAAGCCAAGAGGCAAAAAUGUCCUCCCACGUAUUCUUUGUGCAAACCUGCUGGGAGGAGCACAAGAAGAAGCACCAGGAUGCUUCUGUCAACUUCUCAGAGUUCUCCAAGAAGUGCUCAGAGAGGUAGGAAACCAUGUCUGCUAAAGAAAAGGGGGAAUUUGAAGAUAAGGCAAAGGCUGACAAGGCUCGUUAUGAAAGAGAAAUGAAAGCCUACACCCCCCCACACACACACACAAAGGGGAGACCAAAAAGAAGUUCAAGGACCCCAAUGCACCCAAGAGGCCUCCUUCGGCCUUCUUGUUCUGUUCUGAGUACUGCCCCAAAAUCAAAGGCUUGUCCAUUGGUGAUGUUGCGGAGAAACUAGGAGAGAUGUGGAACAACACUGCAGCAGAUGACAAGCAGCCCUAUGAGAAGAAAGCUGCCAAGCUGAAGGAGAAGUACAAGAAGGAUAUUGCUGCCUACAGGGCUAAAGGAAAACCGGAUGCAGUGGAAAAGGGGGUGGUCAAGGCUGAAAAGAGCAAGAAAAGAAGGAAGAGGAAGAUGAGGUGGAGGAUGAAGAUUAUGAGGAAGAAGAUGAAGUUGAAGAUGAUGAA
rnacentral:lncRNA from 1 species